GACAGAGGGGGCAAGCGUUGCUCGGAAUUACUGGGCGUAAAGGGCGCGUAGGCGGGAUGGCAAGUCGGUCGUGAAAUCCUUCGGCUCAACCGAAGAACGUCGAUCGAUACUGCUGUUCUUGAGGGUUGCAGAGGAGACUGGAAUUCCCGGUGUAGCGGUGAAAUGUGUAGAGAUCGGGAGGAACACCGGUGGCGGAGGCGGGUCUCUGGGCAAUUCCUGACGCUGAGGCGCGAAAGCGUGGGGAGCAAACGGG
rnacentral:rRNA from 1 species